GCUUCCCUGUUGUGUUCGUGUAAGAAUUGACAUUUUUUUGAGCCAACUCAAAUAAAACGGGGUUGAUGGAUCGGCUACGGUGAGCAAGCCUUUCUCGAAAAGGAAGCCUGAAGUAGUCCACGGAUGCCCCACCUGUCGUUGGCAGGUUCAGAAAAAGAUUCUUAUAUCGGCAUGAACGGGGAAGUU
rnacentral:other from 1 species